UUCGAUACGGGGGGGUAUACCCGAAAAAUGAAAAAACCCAAACUUUGAAGGUCGAUAUCUCGGCUUCUAUGGGAGCUAUCGAGCAUAUUCCAACGGUUUUGUCUUAGUUUCGUCAUUCUGAAUCCAACGAGACCAUCCGCAAGGUCGUAGCUCUUACGAUAGCCGAGAUAUGGCAUUUUUGAUGCCCAUUUUUGGCCUCAAAAACGGACGUCGAAAACGACUUUUUCAGGAUUUUCAAAGUGCUCUCAUUCCCUUAGUUCUGCUCGGAUCCUGUUAUAACCCGGUGUUUUCGUAAUCUAGGUGACCCAAAUAACACGCUGGUAUACUUAGUUUGAUUUCGAAAAAAAUCAAUUUUUGGUGAAAAAAUUCGAUACGGGGGGGUAUACCCGAAAAAUGAAAAAACCCAAACUUUGAAGGUCGAUAUCUCGGCUUCUAUAGGAGCUAUCGGGAAAAUUCCAACGGUUUUGUCUUACUUUCGUCAUUCUGAAUCCAACGAGACCAUCCGCAAGGUCGUAGCUCUUACGAUAGCCGAGAUAUGGCAUUUUUGAUGCCCAUUUUUGGCCUCAAAAACGGACGUCGAAAACGACUUUUUCAGGAUUUUCAAAGUGCUCUCAUUCCCUUAGUUCUGCUCGGAUCCUGUUAUAACCCGGUGUUUUCGUAAUCUAGGUGACCCAAAUAACACGCUGGUAUACUUAGUUUGAUUUAAAAAAAAAUCAAUUUUUGGUGAAAAAAUUCGAUACGGGGGGGUAUACCCGAAAAAUGAAAAAACCCAAACUUUGAAGGUCGAUAUCUCGGCUUCUAUGGGAGAUAUCGAGCAUAUUCCAACGGUUUUGUCUUACUUUCGUCAUUCUGAAUCCAACGAGACCAUCCGCAAGGUCGUAGCUCUUACGAUAGCCGAGAUAUGGCAUUUUUGAUGCCCAUUUUUGGCCUCAAAAACGGACGUCGAAAACGACUUUUUCAGGAUUUUCAAAGUGCUCUCAUUCCCUUAGUUCUGCUCAAAUCCUGUUAUAACCCGGAGUUUUCGUAAUCUAGGUGACCCAAAUAACACGCUGGUAUACUUAGUUUGAUUUCGAAAAAAAUCAAUUUUUGGUGAAAAAAUUCGAUCCCCCCCGUAUCGAAAAAUGAAAAAACCCAAACUUUGAAGGUCGAUAUCUCGGCUUCUAUAGGAGCUAUCGGGAAAAUUCCAACGGUUUUGUCUUACUUUCGUCAUUCUGAAUCCAACGAGACCAUCCGCAAGGUCGUAGCUCUUACGAUAGCCGAGAUAUGGCAUUUUUGAUGCCCAUUUUUGGCCUCAAAAACGGACGUCGAAAACGACUUUUUCAGGAUUUUCAAAGUGCUCUCAUUCCCUUAGUUCUGCUCGGAUCCUGUUAUAACCCGGUGUUUUCGUAAUCUAGGUGACCCAUAUAACACGCUGGUAUACUUAGUUUGAUUUCGAAAAAAAUCAAUUUUUGGUGAAAAAAUUCGAUACGGGGGGGUAUACCCGAAAAAUAAAAAAACCCAAACUUUGAAGGUCGAUAUCUCGGCUUCUAUGGGAGCUAUCGGGAAAAUUCCAACGGUUUUGUCUUACUUUCGUCAUUCUGAAUCCAACGAGACCAUCCGCAAGGUCGUAGCUCUUACGAUAGCCGAGAUAUGGCAUUUUUGAUGCCCAUUUUUGGCCUCAAAAACGGACGUCGAAAACGACUUUUUCAGGAUUUUCAAAGUGCUCUCAUUCCCUUAGUUCUGCUCGGAUCCUGUUAUAACCCGGUGUUUUCGUAAUCUAGGUGACCUAAAUAACACGCUGGUAUACUUAGUUUGAUUUAAAAAAAAAUCAAUUUUUGGUGAAAAAAUUCGAUACGGGGGGGUAUACCCGAAAAAUGAAAAAACCCAAACUUUGAAGGUCGAUAUCUCGGCUUCUAUGGGAGAUAUCGAGCAUAUUCCAACGGUUUUGUCUUACUUUCGUCAUUCUGAAUCCAACGAGACUAUCCGCAAGGUCGUAGCUCUUACGAUAGCCGAGAUAUGGCAUUUUUGAUGCCCAUUUUUGGCCUCAAAAACGGACGUCGAAAACGACUUUUUCAGGAUUUUCAAAGUGCUCUCAUUCCCUUAGUUCUGCUCAAAUCCUGUUAUAACCCGGAGUUUUCGUAAUCUAGGUGACCCAAAUAACACGCUGGUAUACUUAGUUUGAUUUCGAAAAAAAUCAAUUUUUGGUGAAAAAAUUCGAUACGGGGGGGUAUACCCGAAAAAUGAAAAAACCCAAACUUUGAAGGUCGAUAUCUCGGCUUCUAUGGGAGCUAUCGAGCAUAUUCCAACGGUUUUGUCUUAGUUUCGUCAUUCUGAAUCCAACGAGACCAUCCGCAAGGUCGUAGCUCUUACGAUAGCCGAGAUAUGGCAUUUUUGAUGCCCAUUUUUGGCCUCAAAAACGGACGUCGAAAACGACUUUUUCAGGAUUUUCAAAGUGCUCUCAUUCCCUUAGUUCUGCUCAAAUCCUGUUAUAACCCGGAGUUUUCGUAAUCCAGGUGACCCAUAUAACACGCUGGUAUACUUAGUUUGAUUUCGAAAAAAAUCAAUUUUUGGUGAAAAAAUUCGAUACGGGGGGGUAUACCCGAAAAAUAAAAAAACCCAAACUUUGAAGGUCGAUAUCUCGGCUUCUAUGGGAGCUAUCGGGAAAAUUCCAACGGUUUUGUCUUACUUUCGUCAUUCUGAAUCCAACGAGACCAUCCGCAAGGUCGUAGCUCUUACGAUAGCCGAGAUAUGGCAUUUUUGAUGCCCAUUUUUGGCCUCAAAAACGGACGUCGAAAACGACUUUUUCAGGAUUUUCAAAGUGCUCUCAUUCCCUUAGUUCUGCUCGGAUCCUGUUAUAACCCGGUGUUUUCGUAAUCUAGGUGACCCAUAUAACACGCUGGUAUACUUAGUUUGAUUUCGAAAAAAAUCAAUUUUUGGUGAAAAAAUUCGAUCCCCCCCGUAUCGAAAAAUGAAAAAACCCAAACUUUGAAGGUCGAUAUCUCGGCUUCUAUGGGAGCUAUCGGGAAAAUUCCAACGGUUUUGUCUUACUUUCGUCAUUCUGAAUCCAACGAGACCAUCCGCAAGGUCGUAGCUCUUACGAUAGCCGAGAUAUGGCAUUUUUGAUGCCCAUUUUUGGCCUCAAAAACGGACGUCGAAAACGACUUUUUCAGGAUUUUCAAAGUGCUCUCAUUCCCUUAGUUCUGCUCGGAUCCUGUUAUAACCCGGUGUUUUCGUAAUCUAGGUGACCCAAAUAACACGCUGGUAUACUUAGUUUGAUUUCGAAAAAAAUCAAUUUUUGGUGAAAAAAUUCGAUACGGGGGGGUAUACCCGAAAAAUGAAAAAACCCAAACUUUGAAGGUCGAUAUCUCGGCUUCUAUGGGAGCUAUCGAGCAUAUUCCAACGGUUUUGUCUUAGUUUCGUCAUUCUGAAUCCAACGAGACCAUCCGCAAGGUCGUAGCUCUUACGAUAGCCGAGAUAUGGCAUUUUUGAUGCCCAUUUUUGGCCUCAAAAACGGACGUCGAAUACGACUUUUUCAGGAUUUUCAAAGUGCUCUCAUUCCCUUAGUUCUGCUCGGAUCCUGUUAUAACCCGGUGUUUUUGUAAUCUAGGUGACCCAAAUAACACGCCGGUAUACUUAGUUUGAUUUCGAAAAAAAUCAAUUUUUGGUGAAAAAAUUCGAUACGGGGGGGUAUACCCGAAAAAUGAAAAAUUCGAAACUUUGAAGAUCAAUAUCGCGGCUUCUAUGGGAGCUAUCGGGAAAAUUCCGACGGUUUUGUCUUAGUUUCGUCGUUCUGAAUCCCACGAGACCAUCCGCAAAGUCGUAGCUUUUACGAUAGCCGAGAUAUGGCAUUUUUGAUGCCAAUUUUUGGCCUCAAAAACGGAUGUCGAAAACGACUUUUUCACGAUUUUCAAAGUGCUCUCAAUUCCUUAGUUCUGCUCGGAUCCUGUUAUAACCCGGUGUUUUCGUAAUCUAGGUGACCCAAAUAAGACGCUGGUAUACUUAGUUUGAUUUCGAAAAAAAUCAAUUUUUGGUGAAAAAAUUCGAUACGGGGGGGUAUACCCGAAAAAUGAAAAAUUCCAAACUUUGAAGGUCGUUAUCUCGGCUUCUAUGGGAGCUAUCGGGAAAAUUCCGACGGUUUUGUCUUAGUUUCGUCGUUCUGAAACAUAUGAAAAAAUAAUAAACAAGAGACUUUGGAGCGAGAUAAUUAACAAAAAAAAUGGCAUGCACCCAAACCAAUACGGUUUCAUUAAAGGGAAUUCAACCACGCACGCAAUGAGAAGAGUUAUAGAACUAGCUACGAAAAGACCCGGCAGACACAACGUGCUCAUCUUAAUAGACGUCAAGAAUGCUUUCAAUUGUGCCUCGUGGAAACUCAUUAUAAAAGAACUGCAUAACUGGGAAAUAAGUCCAUACCUAAUAAAUAUAUUAAUCAGCUAUCUUAAUAACAGACGGAUAACCCUGUCUAGAGAGGAUGAAAGGGAGGUAUUCGUAGGGGUACCACAGGGAUCGGUUCUGGGUCCGACUCUAUGGAACGUGCUGUAUGACAGUGUCAUGGAGCUACCGGUCCCCGAGGGAACUGAGCUGGUAUGCUACGCAGAUGACCUUGCGGUGAUCUGCACACAAGAAAACGAAUACGACCUGAUGAAGGCAGCGGAUAUUACGCUAGAUCUUAUUGAAAGUUGGAUGUACAGGCACGACCUUACGGUGGCAACAGAAAAGACCGAGGCAAUUCUAUUAAGCUGCAAAAAAAAAGUUAGCCACAUCAAGUUCUAUUUUGGGGGCACAUAAAUCACUCCCAAAAAAGAAGUGAAAUACCUAGGUUUCCACAUAGAUCGUCCCCUUUUCAUGAAUCGGCACAUAAAAAACGUCUGCCUAAAGGCUCAUCGCACAACAAAAGCUCUGCAAGCAAUCCUACCAAAUAUUGGAGGUCCCUCCUCCUCAAAAAGGAAGGCGAUGGCUUAUGCCUGCGAAAAUACUAUAAUGUAUGGGGCGCCAGCGUGGAGCUCUGCAAUGGCUGUAACGAACAAUAAAAAAAACUACAAAGCUCACAAAGGAUAAUGGUUCUGAUGGUAUAGUCUGCGUACAGAACGGUCUCAACGGAAGCCCUGUUGGUCAUAUCAGGACUGAUACCGUUGCACAUACUGGCAGAAGAAAGAACCCUUCUAUUUCUAAAUAAUGCAAUCACAAAUACUUCAAGGAAAGAAGAAAGGGAGAGAUCAAUGGAAAGAUGGCAGGAAAAAUGGCAAGCAUCUGAGCGGGGACGCUGGACCUACAAACUAAUUCCGGAUUUGAAAACAUGGGUAAAAAGAAGAGAUGGGCAGCUAAGUCACUACCUGACACAAAUGAUUACUGGACAUGGAAGUUUCGGGAGCUAUCUUCAUGAAAUAAAAAAAAAAGAAUACCCAUCAUGCAACUACUGUGAGCACCCAAAUGACACAGCAGAACACACAAUGUUUUGGUGCCCUAGAUGGGAGAAUAAUAGAAAUGCCCUGAACGCAUUUGUGGGGGUAAAUGUAACUGCUAAUAAUUUCUUACAAAUUGCCACCAAGAACAAAAAGAACUACUAUGCAAUAGAUAAAAUGGCGACGGAUAUCCUAUCCCAGAAAUACAGGGAGGAACAACGAUAAUAAAUUAAAGGAAAAAGAAAAAAAAUAGAGGGACAUAUCCGGCAUCUACCUGAGGAAAUGCGUUCUGCGGGUCCGGGAAGCUGUGGCAGGAAAAAGAGGAAAGGAAUGGGUUGGGUUGGGUUGGGUUGGGUUGGCAGAGGCACAGGCUGGAGCUUCAACUGGGCGAAACUCCCACGCCCGAGAAUAUAAUUGCGCUAAUGACGAGCGACGAAGGCAAAUGGCGACACAUACACAACUACAUAAAGGAGAUUAUGAAGCAAAAAGAAGAAGAAGAAAGGAUAUAUGCACAAGAAGCCAGAAACCAAGAUAGUGAAUAGAAUCACGACACGGCAUUGGUGGUGAUGCAUGCGUUCCAUUGUGAUCCCGCCCCCGAUGCUAGCAGCAGUCAACAGUCGGUUUUUAGUGGGUAGGACCAGUUUGGAGGAGUCUCACACUCACUGCAGUAGUGCAACUGCAGUGGUGAGUGCGUAAAUGCAUUUUCCGACUAUAAACAAAAAAAAAAAGGGUUGGGUUUGGUUUCUAGAGGAUCUCCAACUACAAUCUCCGUUUUAACAAAUACAUCUUUCCCCCAUUUUUUGAGAGAUAGUUCCUUAAAAUUCUCAUAGGAUCUAACUUUCUCGAUUUCCUUUUUGUUAAUUUCUUCUACCAUUCCAAUCUCGACGCGACGCCAUACACAUAAGAGACAUGGAUAUAAGCACCACGGAAGAAGAAGUAAUUAUGGCAAUAAAGGAUAUAUUGGGUGAAGAGCAUGCGAAUAACUCCAGGGUGGGCCGACUCCGACCUACUGCAGAGCCAGGAUAUGGGCAAUGAAAGCCAAUCGUGAGGACCUAUUGGAAAAACUUUCGGACUUAUAUAAAAGCUAUCGGUUAUGCGAAAAUCAUUUUGGAGAAAAUAUGUUUACAAGUCACCUUCAUACUGGAUUGAUAGCUACUGCAACGCCAACUCUAUUUCCGUUUAUUGAAGGCAGUUCUAAAACUGCAGUACAUGAUCAUUCCUAUAGUGCACCUCCCUUUUUUAAAUUUUAAAUAUUUCUAUAUUAGUUAAGGUUAUUGUUUUCUUAAAAAAGAUAGAGACAUCUGUAAAGAUCUUUAGGCAUGAUUUAAAAUAGGCAAUAAAAUGUGUUAAAACUCUAAA
rnacentral:lncRNA from 1 species